rnacentral:rRNA from 1 species
UACGAAGGGGGCUAGCGUUGUCCGGAAUUACUGGGCGUAAAGCGCACGUAGGCGGACUACUAAGUCAGGGGUGAAAUCCCGGGGCUCAACCCCGGAACUGCCUUUGAUACUGAUAGUCUCGAGUCCGGAAGAGGUGAGUGGAAUUCCGAGUGUAGAGGUGAAAUUCGUAGAUAUUCGGAGGAACACCAGUGGCGAAGGCGGCUCACUGGUCCGGUACUGACGCUGAGGUGCGAAAGCGUGGGGAGCAAACAGG